UCUACGGGGGGCAGCAGUGAGGAAUAUUGGUCAAUGGGCGGAAGCCUGAACCAGCCAAGUAGCGUGCAGGAUGACGGCCCUACGGGUUGUAAACUGCUUUUAUACGGGAAUAACGCGCCUUACGUGUGGGGCUUUGCAUGUACCGUAUGAAUAAGGACCGGCUAAUUUCGUGCCAGCAGCCGCUGUAAUACGGAAGGUCCGGGCGUUAUCCGGAUUUAUUGGGUUUAGAGGGAGCGUAGGACGGCUGUCAGGCGUGCUGUUAAAUGUCCGGGCUCAACCCGGGCCUUGCAGCGCGAACUGGCGUGCUUGAGGGCGAGGAAGGCAGGCGGAAUUCGUGGUGUAGCGGUGAAAUGCUUAGAUAUGACGAAGAACCCCGAUUGCGAAGGCAGCUUGCUGCAGCGGAACUGACGCUGAUGCUCGAAAGCGCGGGUAUCGAACAGGAUUAGAUACCCGGGUAGUC
rnacentral:rRNA from 1 species